UGAGGAAUAUUGGUCAAUGGGCGCAAGCCUGAACCAGCCAUCCCGCGUGCAGGAAGACGGCCCUAUGGGUUGUAAACUGCUUUUCCGGGGGGAGAAUUUUUCUGUCGUGACAGGAAUUGACGGUACCCUGGGAAUAAGCAUCGGCUAACUCCGUGCCAGCAGCCGCGGUAAUACGGAGGAUGCGAGCGUUAUCCGGAUUUAUUGGGUUUAAAGGGUGCGUAGGCGGAUAGAUAAGUCAGUGGUGAAAACCUGCAGCUUAACUGUAGACUUGCCGUUGAUACUGUCAGUCUUGAGUAUGGUCAAGGUAGGCGGAAUGUGUAAUGUAGCGGUGAAAUGCUUAGAUAUUACACAGAACACCGAUUGCGAAGGCAGCUUACUGGGCCAUUACUGACGCUGAAGCACGAAAGUGUGGGGAGCAAACA
rnacentral:rRNA from 1 species